rnacentral:piRNA from 1 species
GAGUUGGCCAAAUACUCCUCAAAAGGUUA